rnacentral:rRNA from 1 species
CGGUAGCAGGCCUUCGGGUGCUGACGAGUGGCGGACGGGUGAGUAAUGCGUAGGAAUCUGUCUUUUAGUGGGGGACAACCCAGGGAAACUUGGGCUAAUACCGCAUGAGCCCUGAGGGGGAAAGCGGGGGAUCUUCGGACCUCGCGCUAAGAGAAGAGCCUACGUCUGAUUAGCUAGUUGGUAGGGUAAAGGCCUACCAAGGCGACGAUCAGUAGCUGGUCUGAGAGGACGACCAGCCACACUGGGACUGAGACACGGCCCAGACUCCUACGGGAGGCAGCAGUGGGGAAUUUUUCGCAAUGGGGGCAACCCUGACGAAGCAAUGCCGCGUGGAUGAAGAAGGCCUUCGGGUUGUAAAGUCCUUUCGUGGGGGACGAAAAGGUGGUUCCUAAUACGAGCUACUGUUGACGUGAACCCAAGAAGAAGCACCGGCUAACUCCGUGCCAGCAGCCGCGGUAAUUCAAGGGC